rnacentral:rRNA from 1 species
CCUACGGGACGCAGCAGUGGGGAAUAUUGGACAAUGGGCGAAAGCCUGAUCCAGCAAUGCCGCGUGUGUGAAGAAGGUCUUCGGAUUGUAAAGCACUUUCGACGGGGACGAUGGUGACGGUACCCGUAGAAGAAGCCCCGGCUAGCUUCGUGCCAGCAGCCGCGGUAAUACGAAGGGGGCUAGCGUUGCUCGGAAUGACUGGGCGUAAAGGGCGCGUAGGCGGUGAAUCGGGUUGAAAGUGAAAGUCGCCAAAAACUGGCGGAAGACUCUCGAAACCAAUUCACUUGAGUGAGACAGAGGAGAGUGGAAUUUCGUGUGUAGGGGUGAAAUCCGGAGAUCUACGAAGGAACGCCAAAAGCGAAGACAGCUCUCUGGGUCCCUACCGACGCUGGAGUGCGAAAGCAUGGGGAGCGAACGGGAUUAGAUACCCGUGUAGUC